rnacentral:rRNA from 1 species
AUGCAUGAGUUAACUAAGGAAAACAUUGAGCGCAUGAAUGCUAAAUAUAAACUUGCUGGAGAUAAGGGUAGAAAACAUGUUGUGUUUGCACCUGGAGAUCUUCUUUGGUUACAUUUGCGUAAGGAUAGAUUUCCUGAUUUGCGCAAAUCAAAGUUAAUGCCACGGGCUGAUGGUCCCUUUAAGGUGUUAGAGAAAAUAAAUGAUAAUGCAUAUAAACUUGAGCUGCCUGCAGAUUUUGGGGUUAGUCCCACUUUUAACAUUGCAGAUUUGAAGCCUUAUUUGGGUGAGGAAGAUGAACAUCCGUCGAGGACGACUUCAUUUCAAGAAGGGGAGGAUGAUGAGGACAUCAAUACAAUUGUUACACCCACAGCCCCUGCUGCUAUACAUACUGGACCAAUUACUAGAGCUCGUGCACGCCAACUAAAUUACCAGGAAACAGACCCUCGUGGUCAGGUUGAUCGUGCUCCGGCGUGGUCAAUAACCUCUCGGAGUUGGUUUAGCGAUUGCUAA